UGGGGAAUAUUGGACAAUGGGCGAAAGCCUGAUCCAGCCAUGCCGCGUGGGUGAAGAAGGCCUUAGGGUUGUAAAUCCCUUUCAGCGGGGAAGAUAAUGACGGUACCCGCAGAAGAAGCCCCGGCUAACUCCGUGCCAGCAGCCGCGGUAAUACGGAGGGGGCUAGCGUUGUUCGGAAUUACUGGGCGUAAAGCGCGCGUAGGCGGACUUUCAAGUCAGGGGUGAAAUCCCGAGGCUCAACCUCGGAACUGCCUUUGAUACUGUAAGUCUUGAGUCCGAGAGAGGUGAGUGGAAUUCCUAGUGUAGAGGUGAAAUUCGUAGAUAUUAGGAAGAACACCAGUGGCGAAGGCGGCUCACUGGCUCGGUACUGACGCUGAGGCGCGAAAGCGUGGGGAGCAA
rnacentral:rRNA from 1 species